UACGGAGGUGGCAAGCGUUACUCGGAAUCACUGGGUGUAAAGGGCAAGUAGGCGGUUUAUUAAGUGAGGGGUGAAAUCUCCCGACUCAAUCGGGAAACUGCCUUUCAAACUGAUAGACUUGAGGACGGAAGAGGAAAAUGGAAUUCCCGGUGUAAGGGUGAAAUCUGUAGAUAUCGGGAAGAACACCAGCAGCGAAGGCGAUUUUCUGGUCCGUCCCUGACGCUAAAUUGCGAAAGCUAGGGGAGCAAACAGA
rnacentral:rRNA from 1 species